UGAAGUUAAAGGCUGUGGNUUAACCAUAGUACGCUUUGGAAACUGUUUAACUUGAGUGCAGAAGGGGAGAGUGGAAUUCCAUGUGUAGCGGUGAAAUGCGUAGAUAUAUGGAGGAACACCGGUGGCGAAAGCGGCUCUCUGGUCUGUAACUGACGCUGAGGCUCGAAAGCGUGGGGAGCGAACAGGAUUAGAUACCCUGGUAGUCCACGCCGUAAACGAUGAGUGCUAGGUGUUAGGCCCUUUCCGGGGCUUAGUGCCGCAGCUAACGCAUUAAGCACUCCGCCUGGGGAGUACGACCGCAAGGUUGAAACUCAAAGGAAUUGACGGGGGCCCGCACAAGCGGUGGAGCAUGUGGUUUAAUUCGAAGCAACGCGAAGAACCUUACCAGGUCUUGACAUCCCGAUGCCCGCUCUAGAGAUAGAGUUUUACUUCGGUACAUCGGUGACAGGUGGUGCAUGGUUGUCGUUAGCUCGUGUCGUGAGAUGUUGGGUUAAGUCCCGCAACGAGCGCAACCCUUAUUGUUAGUUGCCAUCAUUCAGUUGGGCACUCUAGCGAGACUGCCGGUAAUAAACCGGAGGAAGGUGGGGAUGACGUCAAAUCAUCAUGCCCCUUAUGACCUGGGCUACACACGUGCUACAAUGG
rnacentral:rRNA from 1 species